rnacentral:rRNA from 1 species
ACGAAGGAUUCAAGCGUUGUCCGGAUUUACUGGGUUUAAAGGGUGCGUAGGCGGAACUUUAAGUCAGUGGUGAAAGCUCUCGGCUCAACCGAGAAAUUGCCAUUGAAACUGAUUUUCUUGAAUACAGUGGAGGUAGAUGGAAUAUAACAUGUAGCGGUGAAAUGCUUAGAUAUGUUAUAGAACACCGAUUGCGAAGGCAGUCUGCUACACUGUCAUUGACGCUGAGGCACGAAAGCGUGGGGAGCGAACAGG